rnacentral:rRNA from 1 species
GAUGAACGCUGACAGAAUGCUUAACACAUGCAAGUCGAUGGGGAAGUGGUGCUUGCACCAUGGCAACCAUGGCGGACGGGUGAGUAACGCGUAAGGGACUUACCUGCAGGACUGGGAUAACAGGGGGAAACUCCUGACAAGACCGGAUAAUGUCAUGGAGCUGCAUGGCUUUAUGAUGAAAGGAGACGCCUGCGGAGAGCCUUGCGUCCUAUUAGCUAGCUGGUGAGGUAAUGGCUCACCAAGGCGAAGAUAGGUAGCCGGCCUGAGAGGGUGGACGGCCACAAGGGGACUGAGAUACGGCCCUUACUCCUACGGGAGGCAGCAGUGGGGAAUAUUGGACAAUGGGGGCAACCCUGAUCCAGCAAUUCUGUGUGCACGAAGAAGGUUUUCGGAUUGUAAAGUGCUUUCAGCAGGGAAGAAGUAAGUGACGGUACCUGCAGAAGAAGCGACGGCUAAAUACGUG